AUGAUAAAGAUUGAAGGGACUAAUAAUGAAAACACCCUUAAUAACCUUAGGUUAAAGGGGAAAAUAAAAACUGAAAACUAGCAAGACACAUUUUUUUAUAUGGAGAUGAACCUGGACAUAAUCAUGUUUCGUUAUUGAGUUGUAGGAAAUUUGUCACCCCCAAUUGUCUGUGGGAAUCCGUCUUAAGCCCGUGCCAUAUCUGUUUAAUAUUUCUUUAAAUUUUGCUGUGUCUCUUUUUUUUUAUCCAUUCCAGGUUACCCAAUUUUCACCUGCUUUGCUUAAAAGAGAGGGUGUGCCUAUUUAUUGCUCCGUGCAGAAUGAAGGGGAGCUUGUUUUGACAUUCCCUAGAGCUUAUCAUUCAGGACUCAGUUGUGGAUUCUCUUGUACUGUGGCUGUAAAUGUAGCCACUUCAGACUGGUUGCCUCACGGGCAGAAUGCUGCAGAGCUUAACCGCAAACAGGCUCACAAGAUAUCGUUAUCCCACGACGAACUAUUGACGGGAGCGGCAAGAGAAGCAGUUAAGAGCACAGUGGAAUAUUCCACUUCUUUGAAAGAACACUAUAGAGAGUUUAAGAUGGAAAGAGGCAUGUGGAGAUCGAAGAUAGAAUCCUGCAGCCAAGUCACUUAAGGUUGGGAAUAUUUGGUUUGAUGGUAGCAGAGAUGCUGAGAUUGAUGUGAAGCUUGACAGUGGCACGCAUUAUACAAAUGAUCAAAAGUUAUUCUUUUUACUUCAUAAGAUUUAAUCUGUACAUAGAUAACAAAUGUAAAUUCUUGUUCUUACCCAAUUUGUUCAAGCAAAGAAACAAUAAUGUUUUGGAGAACUGUAACAUUAAAUAAAUUUAUGAAGUUUUGGAA